rnacentral:tRNA from 1 species
GUGGAUGUAGCACAGUGGUAGUAUACUUGCCUACCAUGCACAAGUACCUGGGUUCCACCCCCAGUACUACG